rnacentral:rRNA from 1 species
UACGUAGGGACCAAGCGUUGUUCGGAUUUACUGGGCGUAAAGGGCGCGUAGGCGGCGUGACAAGUCACUUGUGAAAUCUCUGGGCUUAACCCAGAACGGCCAAGUGAAACUGUUGUGCUAGAGUGCAGAAGGGGCAAUCGGAAUUCUCGGUGGUAGCGGUGAAAUGCGUAGAUAUCGAGAGGAACACCAGAGGUGAAGACGGGUUGCUGGGCUGACACUGACGCUGAGGCGCGAAAGCCAGGGGAGCAAACGGG